rnacentral:sRNA from 1 species
GAGCUUAAAACAGCGACGAAAAUGGGAUGGCCACGCCAUCUUACAGUAUAAGUAGUAACGGGGGGCGGGUUGAGUUUGCGGCCGACAAAAGACACAGGCAGCUGACUUUUUAUCUUAUUAAUCAAUGAUGAGUUGAGAAAAAUAAUUAGUUAGUUUAAGAGGACUACUAAGAUUCAUUAAAAAAAAAAAAAAAAAGUCAUCUAUGACAUCAGGGGGAGAGCUGCUUUUCAUUUUGCAUCGAAAUUGAUGCCAAAUAAAGGCGUGUGUAUGGAUGAAGAAGACCAAACAGAAAUGAACGUGAGAGUACGGAGUAAUCUGACGCGGGAUAAAACCCCAAUGCAGAAAACUGAAUUACAAGGAGCAGCUGAUGCAAAUCAUCCAACAGGUGAUGAGUGAUGAUUAUUAUUUUUCAUGCCGUUAAAAAGGGCCGCUUGUUCAAACACGCGGCGUAACGUCGCAUCAAAUAGCAGCAAUUG